GCCACUAACAUUGGCGGAUUUAGGGGUGGUUUUUUUAUCCAGAUCUAAAAAGUCUGAAUUAGGAGCGGUUUUUAUUAACUCGCCCCAAAAAAGUUUGUACUAGCGGCGGUUUUAUUUCUGACCGCUAAGUAGUCCAAACCCUAACCAUCUCCUCCACUUUCCUAACCAUCUCUUCAACUGAACCUGGAAGCCCAAUCUGUUAGCGUCUCCAAUCAGCAGCCGACGGGUACCAUCAUGACUCCAUCAAACUCCUUGCAACAGCGGCCAAUGAUUUCUCCUAUGUUUGCUCUCUCUCAAGACUCGACUCCCGCAGGCUCUCCUUGGCUCGACUGAGAAGCAGAAAGAGGAAGUAACUAAUGGAGAAUUCAGCUUCUAUAUGAAUUUUAUACAUUUUCUACUAUUGGGUUAGAUGUUGUCAAGGUGGGUUUGUUGGUUUGGUUAGUGUUGACAUCAUUGUGGUGAGUUGUGCUUCUUCUAAGGAUUUAUGACGUAGACAACUAGGGCAUCAUUUCACAUGAUAGGGAAAAUGUGUCUUACUACUUUUGAGUAUAAUGGUUUCACUAUUUUUGUAAUGUUUUCAAUUUCUUUUGCUAAGGCUUCGAGAAUUGAGUCUAUAGAACAAUAUUUUGAAAUGAUCCACAAUCAUUUUCUUUUUUGUCAAGACUUGUUUAAUCAUCUCAAUAAUUUCCUCUUUUGUCAA